AUGGAGGGGCUGCUCCAUUGGGAUUUCUCCCCCGACCUUGCGGUCGAGGCUCAGGUGCGUUCAAAAUUUGGUUCCACGGUCCGUUUCUCUCCUUCUGGCUCUUCGAGAGAGUUCUUCUUGGUGGUUUCCUUCUCCUCGGCUUCUUUUGCCCUCUCCGACGAAUCUGUGGGGAUUGCUCCACAAUGUUGCAUUGGAGGUCGGCCCGAUGGUUUUCGUGUCAAACAUCUUACUGGACGGCAAUACAGAUUCAGUCUCUUCCAAUCGAGUGGGUCAUUUUAUCUAUGGGCUUAG
rnacentral:rRNA from 1 species